UAAGGAAUAUUGGUCAAUGGACGCAAGUCUGAACCAGCCAUGCCGCGUGGAGGAUGAAGGUCCUCUGGAUUGUAAACUUCUUUUAUCUGAGAAGAAACCCCGGAAUUCUUUCUGGGUUGACGGUACCAGAUGAAUAAGCACCGGCUAACUCCGUGCCAGCAGCCGCGGUAAUACGGAGGGUGCAAGCGUUAUCCGGAUUCACUGGGUUUAAAGGGUGCGUAGGUGGGUUGGUAAGUCCGUGGUGAAAUCCCCGAGCUUAACUCGGGAACUGCCGUGGAUACUAUCAAUCUUGAAUACUGUGGAGGUAAGCGGAAUAUGUCAUGUAGCGGUGAAAUGCUUAGAUAUGACACAGAACACCGAUAGCGGAGGCAGCUUACUACACAGUGAUUGACACUGAGGCACGAAAGCGUGGGGAUCAAACAGGAUUAGAUACCCUGGUAGUCCACGCCCUAAACGAUGGAUACUCGACAUACGCGAUACACAGUGUGUGUCUGAGCGAAAGCAUUAAGUAUCCCACCUGGGAAGUACGACCGCAAGGUUGA
rnacentral:rRNA from 1 species